UACAGAGGGGGCAAGCGUUGUUCGGAAUUACUGGGCGUAAAGGGCGCGUAGGCGGCCCGCUAAGUCGAACGUGAAAUCCCCAGGCUCAACCUGGGAACUGCGUCCGAUACUGGCAGGCUUGAAUCCGGGAGAGGGAUGUGGAAUUCCAGGUGUAGCGGUGAAAUGCGCAGAUAUCAGGAGGAACACCGGUGGCGAAGGCGGCGAUCUGGGUAGAUACUGACGCUGAGGUGCGAAAGCGUGGGGAGCAAACAGG
rnacentral:rRNA from 1 species